GUUGGGAAUCUUGGACAAUGGGGGAAACCCUGAUCCAGCCAUGCCGCGUGAGUGAUGAAGGCCUUCGGGUUGUAAAGCUCUUUUACCCGGGAAGAUAAUGACUGUACCGGGAGAAUAAGCUCCGGCUAACUUCGUGCCAGCAGCCGCGGUAAUACGAAGGGGGCUAGCGUUGUUCGGAAUUACUGGGCGUAAAGCGCGCGCAGGCGGUUUUUCAAGUCAGUGGUGAAAGCCCGGAGCUCAACUCCGGAACUGCCAUUGAAACUGUGAAACUUGAGGACGAGAGAGGUGAGUGGAAUUCCCAGUGUAGAGGUGAAAUUCGUAGAUAUUGGGAAGAACACCGGUGGCGAAGGCGGCUCACUGGCUCGUUUCUGACGCUCAGGCGCGACAGCGUGGGGAUCAAACAGGAUUAGAAACCCCUGUAGUCC
rnacentral:rRNA from 1 species